rnacentral:rRNA from 1 species
GGGUAAUUUUCGCAAUGGGCGAAAGCCUGACGGAGCAAGACCGCGUGGGGGAAGAAGGCUCUUGGGUUGUAAACCCCUUUUCUCUGGGAAGAACAAAAUGACGGUACCAGAGGAAUCAGCAUCGGCUAACUCCGUGCCAGCAGCCGCGGUAAGACGGAGGAUGCAAGCGUUAUCCGGAAUGAUUGGGCGUAAAGCGUCCGCAGGUGGCAGUUCAAGUCUGCUGUCAAAGACCGGGGCUCAACCUCGGAAAGGCAGUGGAAACUGAACAGCUAGAGUAUGGUAGGGGCAAAGGGAAUUCCUGGUGUAGCGGUGAAAUGCGUAGAGAUCAGGAAGAACAUCGGUGGCGAAGGCGCUUUGCUGGACCAUAACUGACACUCAGGGACGAAAGCUAGGGGAGCGAAUGGGAUUAGAUACCCCAGUAGUCCUAGCCGUAAACGAUGGAUACUAGGUGUUGUCUGUAUCGACCCGGACAGUGCCGUAGCUAACGCGUUAAGUAUCCC